GCCUGCUUUGUAUUCUGUGUCUCCCUCUCUGCCCCUAACCCAUUUGCACUCUGUCUCUGUCUCUCUCAAAAAUAAUCAUAAAAAAUUAACAUGUUUAAGGUAUCUAUCUCUUAUCUAACAUUAUGUAAAUCUUAUUUAUUGUGUGUUGAGAAUGUAAGAUCCGUGAAGGCAGGGAUUUUGGUCUGUUUCAUUCACUGCUGUAUUCCCAACAAUGCUUAACUUAGAAUACUCCUCUAUUUUUCUUUAGCACCCGUAUAUUGCUAUUGAGAAAUGUGAUGCUAUUCUAAUUGCCAAGUCUUUGUAUUUUCUCUCUGAAAACAUUUAAAAUCUCUCUUCCUUUUUUAAUGUUCUACAAUUUCAAUAUUACAUACAUGCCCUGCUAUGGUCCUUGUUUUGUUCAUUCAAUCUGGAAACUCGUGUUAUUUAGUUCUAGGAAUUUUUCUUGUAUGCCUCUAAUUUUCUCUCCUUUGAUUUCUUCAUUGUCUGAAACUCCUGUUGUUCAUAUGUUGGAUCUCAGAUUCGCUGUCUUAUCUUUCCUCUUUCUCUUUUUGCUCUCCUUUCUGAGAGAAUAUCUCAACUUUAUAUUAUAAUAAUUCUACUGAAUUUAAAAUUUUUACUAUUGUUUUAAUUUCCAAAAGAUCUCUUUUGUUCUAUGAAUAAGCUUUUACAUAGCUUUUCAUUCUUGUUUCUCAGGGAUGCAUUACUUUCUAUUAUUUCUCUGAAGACAGAGAAAGGUUGGGGAAUGGUCACCAUAUUCAAAGAUACAGAUACUCAGGAUAAAACUUUUCACUUGAUCCAUCGGAUUUUAAUAUGCUGGUCACUCUGGCCUCAACUGCAUAUGGUUUCUGAAUUUAGACCCUCUCUGGUCUGUUGUCUUUAGGUAAUAACACUUAUUAUCCUUUUGUCAGGGGUAAGGAGAGGAAGUGAUGUGGCUCUAAAAUGUAGGGAAGAGGCUCUGCAGGUAACUUGUUCCUUUUAAAGACUUUAUACCCAGUCUCCUCUUGAGACUUCUAUUGCAUGUCUACUUUUACAAGUACCAUGUAUCUCCAAUUUCUGAUUCUUUCCAAAGUUCUAUGGCCUGGAUCAGUUUGCAUCUUAAUGUCUUCUGGUACAAACUUAGGUUUUGAGGUUUUUGCUACUAAAAAGGUUAAAAAGUACUCAUAAUUGGUUUUCUAGCUUCCAGAAUUGUUGCCAUCUCUUACCUGUUGUCUUUUCCUUGUUGUUUGUCCUAGUAAUUUAUACAUUAAAAUUCCUAAUUAUUGCUUUACCUAUAAUUUUAUUGGAAUUUUGAGUGUAUGCCAAGAUAAAUGUAUCUGUUUAAUCUGUCACAUUAAAAUCCAUGACCCAUAUUUAUCUGUAGGCAGACUGAGAGAAAGCUUACUGGCCUUUUUGUUAAAAAGCCAAAUGGGCUUUUUUUUUUUCCCUUUAAAAAAGCUUAUUUAUUUUGAGAGAGAGAGAGAGCACUUGUGCACAGGUGUGAGCACAAGCAGAGCAGGGGUGGAGAAGGAGAGAGGGCUCGAUGUCAAGAACCAUGAGGUCAUGACCUGAGUUGACAGGAGUUGGAAGCUUAACUGACUGAGGCACCCAGGUGCCCCCAAAUCAGCUUCUUAAGGACAUUCAGUAGUCUUUUAUAUAAAGAUCAAGGGGGAAAAGAGAGUAGUGUAGUGAAAGAGUG